GUUGGACCGUGUAUUCGGAAUAACAGGCGGCACAGCAAACAAAUGAGGAGGCUUUGUGGCCUGCUGCAUCUGUUGUGGCUGCUGACUAGGGGACGAGGAGGCUCUGUGGCCUGCUGCAUCUGUUGUGGUUGCUGACUAUAGGGGACGCUAUGUCUACCUUGGCGCGUUUGUUCUUACGGAAUCCUCCACCUAGAAUAUUCGAAAAUAUUCAAUGGAUAGAUACUUGUUGGCUGAAGCAGGUGACACUUUAUUUGCUUCCGUCGUCGGGACAAAGCAGUACAAGGAUCUGGUGGCCAAUGCUAAUAUAUUUCAAGGAGCUUUAUUUGAUGACGAUGACAUGGAGAUUAUGGAAGAAACAGAGAUUGUUGAGUCAGAUAUAGCCGAUGGACGAAAUGGAUAUUUAGAUUCUCAUGCUAAGA